rnacentral:rRNA from 1 species
GAAUGCUGACAUAAGUAACGAUAAAGCGGGUGAAAAGCCCGCUCGCCGGAAGACCAAGGGUUCCUGUCCAACGUUAAUCGGGGCAGGGUGAGUCGACCCCUAAGGCGAGGCCGAAAGGCGUAGUCGAUGGGAAACAGGUUAAUAUUCCUGUACUUGGUGUUACUGCGAAGGGGGGACGGAGAAGGCUAUGUUAGCCGGGCGACGGUUGUCCCGGUUUAAGCAUGUAGGCUGGUUAUCCAGGCAAAUCCGGAUAAUCAAGGCUGAGGUGUGAUGACGAGGCACUACGGUGCUGAAGUAACAAAUGCCCUGCUUCCAGGAAAAGCCUCUAAGCAUCAGGUAACAUCAAAUCGUACCCCAAACCGACACAGGUGGUCAGGUAGAGAAUACCAAGGCGCUUGAGAGAACUCGGGUGAAGGAACUAGGCAAAAUGGUGCCGUAACUUCGGGAGAAGGCACGCUGGUGUGUAGGUGAAGUCCCUGCGGAUGGAGCUGAGACCAGUCGAAGAUACCAGCUGGCUGCAACUGUUUAUUAAAAACACAGCACUGUGCAAACACGAAAGUGGACGUAUACGGUGUGACGCCUGCCCGGUGCCGGAAGGUUAAUUGAUGGGGUUAUCCGUAAGGAGAAGCUCUUGAUCGAAGCCCCGGUAAACGGCGGCCGUAACUAUAACGGUCCUAAGGUAGCGAAAUUCCUUGUCGGGUAAGUUCCGACCUGCACGAAUGGCGUAAUGAUGGCCAGGCUGUCUCCACCCGAGACUCAGUGAAAUUGAACUCGCUGUGAAGAUGCAGUGUACCCGCGGCAAGACGGAAAGACCCCGUGAACCUUUACUAUAGCUUGACACUGAACAUUGAGCCUUGAUGUGUAGGAUAGGUGGGAGGCUUUGAAGCGUGGACGCCAGUCUGCGUGGAGCCAACCUUGAAAUACCACCCUUUAAUGUUUGAUGUUCUAACGUUGGCCCCUGACCGGGGUUGCGGACAGUGUCUGGUGGGUAGUUUGACUGGGGCGGUCUCCUCCCAAAGCGUAACGGAGGAGCACGAAGGUUAGCUAAUCCUGGUCGGACAUCAGGAGGUUAGUGCAAUGGCAUAAGCUAGCUUGACUGCGAGCGUGACGGCGCGAGCAGGUGCGAAAGCAGGUCAUAGUGAUCCGGUGGUUCUGAAUGGAAGGGCCAUCGCUCAACGGAUAAAAGGUACUCCGGGGAUAACAGGCUGAUACCGCCCAAGAGUUCAUAUCGACGGCGGUGUUUGGCACCUCGAUGUCGGCUCAUCACAUCCUGGGGCUGAAGUAGGUCCCAAGGGUAUGGCUGUUCGCCAUUUAAAGUGGUACGCGAGCUGGGUUUAGAACGUCGUGAGACAGUUCGGUCCCUAUCUGCCGUGGGCGCUGGAGAAUUGAGGGGGGCUGCUCCUAGUACGAGAGGACCGGAGUGGACGCAUCACUGGUGUUCGGGUUGUCAUGCCAAUGGCACUGCCCGGUAGCUAAAUGCGGAAGAGAUAAGUGCUGAAAGCAUCUAAGCACGAAACUUGCCCCGAGAUGAGUUCUCCCUGAGACUUUAAGUCUCCUGAAGGAACGUUAAAGACGACGACGUUGAUAGGCCGGGUGUGUAAGCGCAGCGAUGCGUUGAGCUAACCGGUACUAAUGAACCGUGAGGCUUAACCUUACAACGCCGAAG